ACAUCAACCUCAUUGUAGAAAGUCUACCCUUUUGACAGCUGCUCAGAUUGCUUCUUUGCCAUGCUCUUCAAAUCAGGUUUCGUCAUAACACCUCACUGUCUUUUUGUGUUGUCUAUAUUUGUUGUUUAUGAAUCUGUCACACCAAGUUAAACAACACUACAGCUGGACUAUGCAAUAUACUUUAUUUUUAGGUUUCUGGAAAAGCUUUGCGUUGUGUGUGAGAGCUAUGGAGGAAAGGCAUCAUUAUGGAGGAAUCCUAAUUGUAAAUUGAACCACAUAAUUUUCUCCAUCCCCAAAUUAGCAGUAUAAGCAGGUUACUUCUUUUCCUAGCCAAGAUGGCAGAUAGGAAAUUGUGACUGCAUUUUGGCCGUCCCAGGGCAAGAACUCAAGUUUCAGUGCAAGACCUUCACUAUUGGCUUCAGCUACUUCACGGAAUUGUACUUGUGGGCUCAGAUGGGCUGAGGACCUGGGAGACAGACAAUUGGGACCAGCAGUUGGGUGUGUGUGACUUGAAGGUCAUUAGCAUGGGACUCUGAGAAACUACCAAUGAAGAAGAGAUUCAAACACUCAACCAUUCCUGCUGUUUGAUGAAGAAGGCGUACCUGAUUGAUUGAGAUUCAUUAUGAACUUGUUGGAUUUUCUCUGCUCGUAGAAUCUGGCGCAACUUGAAUCCCACAAGAGCAAGGACUUCCCAGUCAACAUUCAAAGACUUGUCAGAACUACAUCAGGAAAAGGUUAGCUAAAAGAUGACUGAUUAUCCACAGGUCACAUGAAUCAGAUAAAGUCCUUACCUUGGAAAAAGCAUGGGGCUGUAAAUUCACAAUUACUCCUAUUUAAACAAGAAGAAGGAAGCUAUAUUCUAUAAUGAUUCAAUCUGCCAGGGCAGCUUCCAGAAUAUCCAGACAUACUGUAUAGAAUACUAAAGGCUAAAGAGAGCAAAGGUGUGGGUGAACCUUCUAGAUAUAGCCUUAGAUGCUGAAAACUGCUGAGUCCAAAUGAUUUUGGGCACAUACAUUUAUUACAUAUGCAAUGUGAUAGAGUGGUGUGGGUGCAGCAUAUUUAAUGUCUGUGGUGAUGUGUGUCAUUGGGCAAUCUGAAUAUGAAGACACAUUGUGUAACUCCUCCCCACUGCAGCUCCACUCCCAAUUUCACUUACAUUACAUUUCGUUGUGCCCAUCCCAGUGCUUGUCAGACCCCUUUGUGAGGCUGGUGUAGGGUGGGAGAGGUAGGGCUGGACACCAGCAGAACAAGAAGAAGAACUGGCCCUUCUAGCAGCAGUGAAUUCUCACAUUGGCUGAAUUGUUCUGUAUAUAUUUGCCCUGAAAGUGAGCUCAGGAGGAUGGAACCAGUGCAAGCCUCUCUCUGUCCUACAAAGCACUUUGCUUCUGGGCCAGGGUAAAAAUAACCUUUUGCCAUGGUUUGUUUGCAGUGCAAUAUUUCAUCUAUUUUAACUUACAAUCAACACUGACAGCUCUUAAGAUUGUAUCUCAGAUAGCAGGAUGUUUGGACCUCUUUUAAUAAAAGACUCUAUAGCUCAAGAGACUGAAGACAGAUUUAAAGUAAUGUUUUAAGGCUGUUUGGGGACUUAAGAUGCAAGAUGUGAUUGAAACCUGCAGAGCUGUAGGAAAAGGCCCAACAGCUUGAAACUGCAGAACAGUAGGAACUCAUUUUUAAUGAUCUCUUGAUGUUUUUGAAAGUAUUGUGAAUUUCAGGAAGGUUAUUCCAUGAGAUUUGAAUGCCAAGGACUGACUGUACUGUAUAAUGGCUGUGGAUGUUUUUCUAUGCUGUUCAGGUUAAAAAUUAGUGUGAGUUUAAUGAGAACUCUGCAGAAAAUUGUGAGAAAUCCUAAUGUGGGAAAAAAGCCACCUGAGAAAGCAGACUUCAAAGAAUGUGUUCAAAUUUUUUGUUAGAACGGUCUUUUGUUUGCCUAGCAGAAUAUAAAAAAGUGGUUUAAAAGCUUU